AUAGAUCUCAGCUGGGGCUUGUCUGUAGUAGGGGUUUGCUUUUGCCCCACUGUAGCUAUUACUAAUCCAAACCAUUAUUGAUUGCAUACCAUCUCUUACAAUUUGCUCUAGUAGGAGGAUGUUUGUGUGCAGUCCUGCUGGCAUACCAGUGCUGAGGUGAAAGAUCACCUGAGGAAGGGGGACAGGCCUUCUGUUUUAACAAGCGGAGUGAUUUCUAACCUGAACUGCCAUGCUUGCCUCUGGAGGAAAAAGGCCUCAGAAGCAUCUUGAUAAAUUGAUGUACAUCUAUGUAUGAUAUGCACUUUAUGCGAUGUAAGUAGGAAGAACAAGUGUAACUCAUGCAAAUUAUGACUCCUGAGUCUAAUCUAAAUUGGUGGAACCAUCAAUGCAACUGGACAGCUAGAAGGGGGAUGGAGUUGCUUAACGCAUCCAGGUGUCUUUGUUGCUGCAACUCAGCUACGAAGGACACAGCAUUAAGUGCAAAAUUUCUGGAUAAAGAGCUGUGGACCUGGUUCCUCUAAUGAAGAUUCUCAUUACAGAAAAUGCCUUCAUCUGAGUUGGAAAACAAAUACAAAAAACAGAACCUGUUCAACCAGGCUUGUGGAUAACACUGAUGAUGCUCUGUUUCGAUGAGAUGACAUAACUUACUGCCACAGCAGCCUCAGAAUCUUCUGUUCAUGUCUAAUGACGAGACAAAAUACAGCUCUGCCUUAUUAACUGAAACUUGCAUACAUCCAAAAUCAGCUUAAAU
ensembl:lncRNA